AGUGUAGAGGAUAGGUUGGAAGGGUAUAGGAAUGGAAUUGGAUCAACCGGAUAGGAGACUAUUGCUGGAUCCAUGGGAAAGAACAUGAGAGCCUGAACUAAGGGCAGAGGGAAGUUGAGGAAUCAACAUAGCAUAGCUGUCUAUUGGUUGCACGUGAGGUAUUGUCUUCCAGGAGGAGAACUGGUUUUAGGAGAAAGAAAACGAGUUUGAUUUGGGAUACUUUGAGUUUUAUGAUGCCUGAGGGACAUACAUGUGGAGUUAUCACUAAGACGUUUGAAAUGUAUGAUCCAUAAAGAAGAUAUAGAAUCAUUUUUAUGUUUAAAGAGUAUGUAAAUGUUAUCAUCAUCAUUGUCCUCAUCACCAUCAUCAUCAUAAUGGGCACCCAGUUCACUGUGGAAGAGGGAUGGUGAGAGAGAAUGCUUGUAUAUUUCCCAACUGUGAAGAGAAUGCUUUAUGAGGAAAUGGCUGUUUUUUGUCAUCACUUGCUGGGCUAGAUCAGGUCCUCUUCUAUGACUUUUUAAAGACCUCUGUUCACACAGCUGCUUUGGCAAGUCAGGAAUCAAACUGACAGCCCAUUGGAAAGGCAUACCCUGUCACAAGUCUAAAGAGAAACAGAGUGACAGUUCCCAGGCUCAAGUGCAAGGCGCGCCGCUCAAUCUUCUUUGGCUGGCUAGGAUCUUGGUUGAUGCAGGGCGCCGAUGCCAGACAGCAGAGGGCCUGGAGUAACAAAAACAACGCCCCGCAAGUGUGAUAUGGAUCAAUGUUGGGCUCUGCUCCACGUCGUCACUCAGGGAGCCUGGCUUAUUCCCUUGUGUCACUCCACUAUCUUCUGGGACUUUGUUUCCCUCUGCAUUCAGCUACACAUAUGGGGAAAGUGAGAAAAUGUGGAGAAAGCAUACCCACUCUUAACUGCAUUCCCCGGAGGUGAUGCAGGUCACUUCUAUUUACAUUUCAUUGGCUGGAACUCAGUCCAGUGAUUCCUUCUAACUGCGGGGGAGGCUGGGAAAUGUAGUUUGGUGGUGGGACCAGAAGAAGCAGAGAGCUCUCUGCCACAAUGUGCAAUCAUUUUCAAAUAAAUAUAAAGAAAUAAAAUGGGCUUGAUGCUAAAAACAAUAUAAAACAUA
rnacentral:lncRNA from 1 species